GAUGAACGCUGGCGGCGUGCCUAAUACAUGCAAGUCGAGCGAACGGACGAGAAGCUUGCUUCUCUGAUGUUAGCGGCGGACGGGUGAGUAACACGUGGAUAACCUACCUAUAAGACUGGGAUAACUUCGGGAAACCGGAGCUAAUACCGGAUAAUAUUUUGAACCGCAUGGUUCAAAAGUGAAAGACGGUCUUGCUGUCACUUAUAGAUGGAUCCGCGCUGCAUUAGCUAGUUGGUAAGGUAACGGCUUACCAAGGCAACGAUGCAUAGCCGACCUGAGAGGGUGAUCGGCCACACUGGAACUGAGACACGGUCCAGACUCCUACGGGAGGCAGCAUUAGGGAAUCUUCCGCAAUGGGCGGAAGCCUGACGGAGCAACGCCGCGUGAGUGAUGAAGGUCUUCGGAUCGUAAAACUCUGUUAUUAGGGAAGAACAUAUGUGUAAGUAACUGUGCACAUCUUGACGGUACCUAAUCAGAAAGCCACGGCUAACUACGUG
rnacentral:rRNA from 1 species